rnacentral:rRNA from 1 species
ACUCCUACGGGAGGCAGCAGUGGGGAAUUUUGCGCAAUGGGCGAAAGCCUGACGCAGCAACGCCGCGUGAGUGAUGAAGGCUUUCGGGUCGUAAAGCUCUGUCGAGGGGAAAGAAAUGUAUUGUGGCUAAUAUCCGCGAUACUUGACGGUACCCCUAAAGGAAGCACCGGCUAACUCCGUGCCAGCAGCCGCGGUAAUACGGGGGGUGCAAGCGUUGUUCGGAAUUAUUGGGCGUAAAGCGCGUGUAGGCGGUUUGUUAAGUYUGAUGUGAAAGCCCUGGGCUCAACCCAGGAAGUGCAUUGGAUACUGGCAGACUUGAAUACGGGAGAGGGUAGUGGAAUUCCUGGUGUAGGAGUGAAAUCCGUAGAUAUCAGGAGGAACACCGGUGGSGAAGGCGGCUSCCUGGACCGAUAUUGACGCUGAGACGSGAAAGCGUGGGUAGCAAACAGGAUUAGAUACCCUGGUAGUCCACGCCGUAAACGAUGAGAACUAGGUGUUGCGGGUAUUGACCCCUGCAGUGCCGCAGCUAACGCAUUAAGUUCUCCSCCUGGGAAGUACGGUCGCAAGACUAAAACUCAAAUGAAUUGACGG